UUUAACCCCACAGUCCACCCCAUCUAACCCUAAUCCCCAUUCCCUUCUCCCGUUCCCUCAGCCGCCGCACUCCACCUAUGUUCCCCUGCCGGCUCCCGAUCUAGAGCUUCCCUCUCCGCUCACCCUAUGCGUCCGGCCCCUCCGGACGACCCCAACUGCUGCGGCUAGACGACAUUCGGCGUCGUCCAUGACGGGCCCUUCCUCGGUCGCAGUCGACCAGCACAUGGACGGGAACCCCAUGACGCUCUGGCCAUCUCAACCAGAUCGCCGCUGACAUCUUCGGCCGGCAGCGAGCCAUGGUGAGGUACAGGGCGCCGCCGUCGUCACGGAUGCGGAGUACAGGGCGCGACCGCCACGGAUCCAGCCUCUGCUUCACCGACGCGGCCCCCUUCUCUAUUGUAUCUCGUGGCUACUGAUCCAUCUUUGACCGGCAGCAAGCCAUGGUGAGGUACAGGGCGGCGCCGCCGUCACGGAUGCUGUGUUCAGGACGCCACCGACACGAAUCCAGCCUCUGCUUCACCGAUGCAGCCCCCUUCUCUGUUGCAUCUCCCGGCUAGGUACUUGCGAAACUGUACAGUUUAUGGCUACAACUUGAAGGUCCUUAUUUGGGUCUCGUCCAAAAAAAUGGAGCUGGAAAUUUUCCAUGCGAGCCUAAUUUUUAGAAUCAUGUUUUUAGUUUAUUCUGACUAGAAAUGUCCAGUGUGUGUUCCAUGAUGGUAACUCCAAAUAUGAUAUUUUUGGUCCUGUAGGUAUUUUCCAUGUAAAAAUAUAUACUUUUCUGUCUGUGUGCUUGGCUUUGUGCUAUUCAUAUCAAUGUUUAUAUAGGUGGAUUGUACAUUCUGAAUAUUUUCUUUGGAUAUUUUUUAUCUGCUAUAAUAUGAUCAUUAAGCACCAUGCAUAUGGAUUAUACCUUU